rnacentral:rRNA from 1 species
GACGAACGCUGGCGGCGUGCUUAACACAUGCAAGUCGAACGCUGAAGCUUGGUGCUUGCACUGGGUGGAUGAGUGGCGAACGGGUAAGUAAUACGUGAGUAACCUGCCCUUGACUCUGGGAUAAGCCUGGGAAACUGGGUCUAAUACUGGAUAUGACAUGCCACUGCAUGGUGGUGUGUGGAAAGGGUUUUACUGGUUUUGGAUGGGCUCACGGCCUAUCAGCUUGUUGGUGGGGUAAUGGCCUACCAAGGCGAUGACGGGUAGCCGGCCUGAGAGGGUGACCGGCCACACUGGGACUGAGACACGGCCCAGACUCCUACGGGAGGCAGCAGUGGGGAAUAUUGCACAAUGGGCGGAAGCCUGAUGCAGCGACGCCGCGUGAGGGAUGACGGCCUUCGGGUUGUAAACCUCUUUCAGCACGGAAGAAGCGAGAGUGACGGUACGUGCAGAAGAAGCGCCGGCUAACUACGUG